GAUAGGCUAAUUAAGAGCGUAAGGGGAAUGCCUUGGCUCUCAGAGGCGAAGAAGGACGUGAUAAGCUGCGAAAAGUUGCGGGGAGUGGCACAUACAUUAUAAUCCGCAAAUGUCCGAAUGGGGAAACCCGAUUAUUUGAAGAAUAAUCAUCCAUUUAUGGAAGCUAACCCGGAGAACUGAAACAUCUAAGUACCCGGAGGAAAAGAAAACAAUAGUGAUUCCGCUAGUAGUGGCGAGCGAACGCGGAAUAGCCCAAACCUAAAUUGUUUCGGCAAUUUAGGGGUUGUAGGAGCACAAUAUUUAUUGCUUAAUGAAUUAGAAUCAGUUGGAAAUCUGAACCAUAGAGGGUGAUAGUCC
rnacentral:rRNA from 1 species